rnacentral:rRNA from 1 species
UACGUAGGGGGCAAGCGUUGUCCGGAAUCAUUGGGCGUAAAGAGCGUGUAGGCGGCUCGGUAAGUCCGCUGUGAAAGUCCAGGGCUCAACCCUGGAAUGCCGGUGGAAACUGUCGAGCUAGAGUCCGGAAGAGGCGAGUGGAAUUCCUGGUGUAGCGGUGAAAUGCGCAGAUAUCAGGAGGAACACCAAUGGCGAAGGCAGCUCGCUGGGACGGUACUGACGCUGAGAAGCGAAAGCGUGGGGAGCAAACAGG